UACGUAGGGGGCUAGCGUUGUCCGGAAUCAUUGGGCGUAAAGAGCGUGUAGGCGGCCCGGUAAGUCCGCUGUGAAAGUCGGGGGCUCAACCCUCGAAUGCCGGUGGAUACUGUCGGGCUAGAGUGCGGAAGAGGCGAGUGGAAUUCCUGGUGUAGUGGUGAAAUACGUAGAUAUCAGGAGGAACACCGGUGGCGAAGGCGGCGGCCUGGUCCUAUACUGACACUCAAACACGAAAGCGUGGGGAUCAAACAGG
rnacentral:rRNA from 1 species